UAGGGAAUCUUCCACAAUGGACGCAAGUCUGAUGGAGCAACGCCGCGUGAGUGAAGAAGGUUUUCGGACCGUAAAGCUCUGUUGUUGGUGAAGAAGGAUAGAGGUAGUAACUGGCCUUUAUUUGACGGUAAUCAACCAGAAAGUCACGGCUAACUACGUGCCAGCAGCCGCGGUAAUACGUAGGUGGCAAGCGUUGUCCGGAUUUAUUGGGCGUAAAAGCGAGCGCAGGCGGAAGAAUAAGUCUGAUGUGAAAGCCCUCGGCUUAACCGAGGAAUUGCAUCGGAAACUGUUUUUCU
rnacentral:rRNA from 1 species